GCAGUCGAACGGCAGCACGGGCUUCGGCCUGGUGGCGAGUGGCGAACGGGUGAGUAAUAUAUCGGAACGUACCCAAGAGUGGGGGAUAACGUAGCGAAAGUUACGCUAAUACCGCAUACGAUCUAUGGAUGAAAGCAGGGGACCGCAAGGCCUUGUGCUCCUGGAGCGGCCGAUAUCUGAUUAGCUAGUUGGUAGGGUAAAGGCCUACCAAGGCGACGAUCAGUAGCUGGUCUGAGAGGACGACCAGCCACACUGGAACUGAGACACGGUCCAGACUCCUACGGGAGGCAGCAGUGGGGAAUUUUGGACAAUGGGCGCAAGCCUGAUCCAGCAAUGCCGCGUGAGUGAAGAAGGCCUUCGGGUUGUAAAGCUCUUUUGUCAGGGAAGAAACGGCAGGGGCUAAUAUCUUUUGCUAAUGACGGUACCUGAAGAAUAAGCACCGGCUAACUACGUGCCAGCAGCCGCGGUAAUACGUAGGGUGCAAGCGUUAAUCGGAAUUACUGGGCGUAAAGCGUGCGCAGGCGGUUUUGUAAGUCUGUCGUGAAAGCCCCGGGCUCAACCUGGGAAUUGCGAUGGAGACUGCAAGGCUUGAAUCUGGCAGAGGGGGGUAGAAUUCCACGUGUAGCAGUGAAAUGCGUAGAGAUGUGGAGGAACACCGAUGGCGAAGGCAGCCCCCUGGGUCAAGAUUGACGCUCAUGCACGAAAGCGUGGGGAGCAAACAGGAUUAGAUACCCUGGUAGUCCACGCCCUAAACGAUGUCUACUAGUUGUCGGGUUUUAAUUAACUUGGUAACGCAGCUAACGCGUGAAGUAGACCGCCUGGGGAGUACGGUCGCAAGAUUAAAACUCAAAGGAAUUGACGGGGACCCGCACAAGCGGUGGAUGAUGUGGAUUAA
rnacentral:rRNA from 2 species